UACAUAGGUCUCUUAGACAUCUUCUCAAGAUUAUGCUAAGAGAAAUGACUGCACCCUUUUCCUGAGCUAUGGCAGUCAGACCUGGCAGUGGUAACUACUCUACAGAACUCCCAAACCUGGCAAGGAUGGUGCAGAUUUUGGCAGAUUAUGGCUUUGUCCCCACCCAGCACUGAUGAUAUUAUAAAACCUAUACUACAAGAAAUGAUAAUGGAAGUUCUUCAACUGAGCAAGAAAUGAUAUUAACAGAAAACUUGGAUCUUCAGAAGCAAAUGAAGAACAUCAGAAAUGCAACUUUCAUUGUUAGAGAGAGGAGAGAGAGAGAAGCCUUGUUGGUUGACGUCACUUGGUUCAUGAAGCCUUCGCCUAGAAGUGAAGCUGCUGAACAAACCUUGAGAAGAAUCAUCUCCUGCUUCAAUCUGCUGCUGGAUAGGAACUAAUCAGAGAGAGAGAGGCGGAAGACGGAGAAGGAGGGAGUCGAAGGCUUUCCCGAUCACAAAUCUCACCUCCACUACAACUCUCUUUAUACUUU
rnacentral:lncRNA from 10 species